GGUGACAUUGUACGUCCGUCAUUUUGACAUGCUCCUCAUCAAUUCUUGGACCUGUUAUUGCAAUUUUCGCUGCUCUAUCAACCAUUUCAUUUCCAUUAAUGCCAGAAUGUCCAGGUACCCAAACAAAAACAGGUCUGACAUUAUGCUCACUCAGGUCCACCAAACAACCUUGGCAUAAACGAGCCAGAGGAUCUCUCGUGUAUAUAUCUUUUACAGCAUUUAUGGCAUUUAAGGAGUCGCUAACUAUCAAAUAUGUUUUAUUUGUAGGUUCUACGGGAAUGUGUACCAGAGCCUUCCAUAAUGCAAACUGUUCCGCAGUAUACACCGAGGUUAUAGGGUUUAGGGCCCAGGAGUGGACCACACCAUCAACUACAAUGGCGGAUCCCGCCCCUUGUUGGUUUUUCGAGCCAUCAGUAAAGAUAACCGUUUUAUUUGUGUAGUUGUUAGCGAUCUCCUCAAAUAGACGUAUCAACCACGGGUAGCAAUUGUACUGGUUUUUCUGCACUAGGUGAGGUAUUGUUUCGUGUAGUUCCCCCAGGAUCUCUUUAAACCGUAUCCCGAGCGGUCGUGGGAUAGUUGGCCUAGCGUCAAAAACAUUUCCGUCUGGAAAUAGGAAAACAUUGUUCGGCUGUUGUCUUCGCGUAUCCAAUGGAGGCAAGUUCGAUUCACAAUAAAGACUGUGUAUAGGAGUGGUAGGAAACGCGCCUAAACAAUACUUUAUUCCAGUAUUAUGCACCCUAUCUAAUAGUAAUAGCGACGAUUUACGGGCUGAUGCAUAUACAAUCGCUCCAUAGUCGAUUUGCGACAUAACUAAGGCCCGGUAUACGUUUAUUAGCAUUUGCACCUCAGCACCCCAUUUGGUGUUCAAUAUGCGCGUUCCACGUUAGUUUGCUAUCAAACGUCAAUCCCAGAAAUUUUGUCGCUGUCACACACGCAACUGGUCUAUUUCCGAUAUAGAGUGACGGAUCAUAAUGUGGUCUGCGCAAUUUACAAAAAUGAACGCAUUUAGUUUUUUCCCUGGAAAAUUGUUUAACGUUUAUCUGGCCUACAGUGGCCCCGGAGCAAUAUAUCGCCAAGUCAUCAACAUAUAGAGCCCGAGAAACACCAGGCUCCACUCCGUCCGCAAUCUCGUUAAUUGCAAUCAAAAACAGUGUACAGCUCAGCGUGGAGCCUUGCGGUACACCGUUUUCCAGGCGUUGAACUUUUGACAAAGUGUUUCCUAUCCGCACCCGGAAAUAUCUAUCGGUCAUAAACGAUUUAAUAAAUUUAGGUAAGUUACCCCUCGGACCGUAUUUGUGCAAUUUAUUUAAUAUUCCAUGCCUCCAGGUCAUAUCGUAGGCUCCCUUUAUAUAAAAAAAUACCGCUACGAGGUGUUGUCGUUUCCUGUGAGCUUCCCUUAUCGAGUUCUCUAAUUCGACUAGAUGGUCUAUUGUCGAUCGGCCUUUUCUAAAACCUGCUUGGUAAGGCGCUAUCAAGUUGUUCUUCUCAAGGUAAAAUUGAAGCCUUUUGUUUACGAUUUUUUCCAAAAGUUUACCUAAGCAGCAAGUCAAACUUAUUGGUCGAUAACUUGCGGCGUGUAAUGGAUUCUUUCCGGGUUUAUGUAUUGGAAUUAUAGUAGCCAUCUUCCAUUGUUCCGGAUAUACGCUGUGGCGCCAUACGUCAUUAAAUAGCUCUAGUAUAGAUGACCUUAUUUGAGUUGUGAGAUGAACUAACAUUUCGUUACUUACUUCAUCAGGACCUGGAGCGGUGUUCUUAAGUUCUCCAAUGGCUGAGUUUAGCUCAUCCAUGGUAAAAGGAACAUUAUACUCGAGAUCAUGAUCCGUAUCAAAGUCGAGAAGCACUUCACGUUCCGUUUUGUGUAGUGCAAAUUGCAGGCUAUAAUUAUCGUUGCUACUCGUGCUAGCAAAAUGGCACGCAAGUAGGUCAGAAAUCUCAGUUUCAUCGUCAAGAACAUCGCCGUUUUCUCUUUUAAGAAAAUUUAUUUGCUGAUAACCAGCACCUCCCGAUAUAGCUUUUAUCUUGCGCCACACCUGCUGUGUAUCUUGUGCUGAUGUUAUUGUUGAUGUGUACUGAUUCCAGCUAUUUCUUUUGCUCUCCAACACAAUACGUCUGCUCACUGCUCUGGCUCUUUUAAACUCGAUAUGAUUAGCGAUAGACGGUUCCCUCUGGUAGCGUCUGAAAGCCACUUUUUUAUUUUUUAUUGCAUUUUUUACUUCGGGACUCCACCAUGGUAAUGGUCGUUUAAUCUGUUUAUCACCUGUUUUGGGAAUGCUAACUUCGGCUGCUUGUUUUAUACAUGUUGUUAUUGUCUCGACGUUUACAGGAUCGGGUGCAACAAGACGACUGGAGAAUAGGUUCCAGUUUGCCCUACUCAUUAUCCAUUUCUUAUAUGUAGUCUUUUCCAUUUCCGGAACAUCCGUUUGAAUUAGAAUCGGGAAAUGGUCGCUAUUAUGUAGAUCGCUUAUUACCUCCCACUUGAGAUGAGGACUUAGACUGGUAGUGACUAGAGUAAGGUCAAUCGCCGAAAAGUUAUUUGACCUAGCAAUGUGAUGUGUAGGUGACCCAGUGUUGAGUAUAAUCACAUCAUUUCUAGUUAUCCAACCUUCCAGAAUUCGCCCUUUACUACUCGUAUAUUCGGAUCCCCACAUCGGGUUAUGGGCAUUGAAGUCUCCCGUAAUCAUAAAAGGUUUUAGUAGUUGAUUCACUAGCUGGUUGAAUUCUUCAAUUGUCCAAUUAGCAUCCGGUAGAUAAACAUUACAAAUAGUUAUUCGCCAUGGUAGAAUUAACUUUACAGCAACAGCCUGAAGACUUGUAUUAAGUUGAACAUUUUCAUAUAUAACAUUGUUGCGUAAGAGUAUUAACACUCCCCCACUACUUCUUUGUUCAUUAAUACCAUCUCGCCGUUCUACUUUGAAACCAUUCAACGUAUAGGGCUGAUUGUGACCGAGAUGGGUUUCUUGAACGCAAAAACACAUCGGGUUAUGUUCGUGCAAUAGCAUUUUGAGAUCACAGUAGCGAGUUAUUAUACCUCUGCAGUUCCAUUGUAUGAUUUUGUUAUUAUCCAUUGUUAAGAUAGUUUAUAUAACAAAAAUAUCACAGAUGUUAAUAAUAAUCACUAAAAU